rfam:Azorhizobium caulinodans ORS 571 DNA, complete genome.
GGGCGAUUAGCUCAGCGGGAGAGCACUCCCUUCACACGGGAGGGGUCGCAGGUUCAAUCCCUGCAUCGCCCA